GUCGAACGAUAAGCUAGACUUCGGUUUAGUGGACAGUGGCAGACGGGUGAGUAACGCGUGGGAAUCUACCUUUGAGUGGGGAAUAACAAUUAGAAAUGAUUGCUAAUACCGCAUAUACCCUUCGGGGGAAAGGCUUCGGCCGCUCUUAGAUGAGCCCGCGUACGAUUAGUUUGCUGGUGAGGUAAAGGCUCACCAAGACUACGAUCGUUAGCUGGUUUGAGAGGAUGAUCAGCCACACUGGGACUGAGACACGGCCCAGACUCCUACGGGAGGCAGCAGUGGGGAAUAUUGGACAAUGGGCGAAAGCCUGAUCCAGCCAUGCCGCGUGAGUGAAGAAGGCCUUAGGGUUGUAAAACUCUUUCGACAGGGAAGAUAAUGACGGUACCUGUAGAAGAAGCUCCGGCUAACUCCGUGCCAGCAGCCGCGGUAAUACGGAGGGGGCAAGCGUUGCUCGGAAUUACUGGGCGUAAAGCGAGCGUAGGCGGUUAGUCAAGUUGGUGGUGAAAGCCCAGAGCUCAACUCUGGAACUGCCAUCAAAACUGACUUACUUGAGAUUGGUAGAGGGAAAUGGAAUUCCUAGUGUAGAGGUGAAAUUCGUAGAUAUUGGGAAGAACAUCGGUGGCGAAGGCGAUUUCCUGGGCCAAUUCUGACGCUGAGGUUCGAAAGCGUGGGUAGCAAACAGGAUUAGAUACCCUGGUAGUCCACGCCGUAAACGAUGAGUGCUAGACGUUGGAGAUUAAUUCUUCAGUGUCGUAGUUAACGCAUUAAGCACUCCGCCUGGGGAGUACGGUCGCAAGAUUAAAACUCAAAGGAAUUGACGGGGG
rnacentral:rRNA from 1 species